AGAGUUUGAUCAUGGCUCAGGAUGAACGCUAGCUACAGGCUUAACACAUGCAAGUCGAGGGGCAGCAUGUUGGUUGCUUGCAACCAAUGAUGGCGACCGGCGCACGGGUGAGUAACGCGUAUCCAACCUACCCUUGUCCAUCGGAUAACCCGUCGAAAGGCGGCCUAACACGAUAUGCGGUUCACAGCAGGCAUCUAAGGUGAACGAAAUGUGAAGGAGAAGGAUGGGGAUGCGUCUGAUUAGCUUGUUGGCGGGGUAACGGCCACCAAGGCGACGAUCAGUAGGGGUUCUGACGAGGAAGGUCCCCCACAUUGGAACUGGAGACACGGUCCAAACUCCUACGGGAGCA
rnacentral:rRNA from 1 species